rnacentral:snRNA from 1 species
GUGCUUGUUUCUGCAGCAUAUGUACUAAAAUUGGGAAGGUACAGAGAUUAGCAUGGCCCCUGCGCAAGGAUGAUACACAAAUUCAUGAAGCGUUCCAAAAAAUU